rnacentral:lncRNA from 1 species
GUCCGGACGAACCCAGUGGAGCCGACCGAGCCCCUGGAAUCACUCGGGUCACGGUUCCUGAGGUGAAACGCGAGAUCGAUUACUGGAAUCUCCGGGCCCGGGCCGGGCCUGACGGAGGGCGCCCGCGGGGCCCUAAGUGGACAAC